rnacentral:rRNA from 1 species
UACGGAGGAUGCGAGCGUUAUCCGGAUUUAUUGGGUUUAAAGGGUGCGUAGGCGGACUGUCAAGUCAGCGGUAAAAUUGAGAGGCUCAACCUCUUCCCGCCGUUGAAACUGGUGGACUUGAGUGGAUGAGAAGUACGCGGAAUGCGUGGUGUAGCGGUGAAAUGCAUAGAUAUCACGCAGAACUCCGAUUGCGAAGGCAGCGUACCGGCAUCCAACUGACGCUGAGGCACGAAAGCGUGGGGAUCAAACAGG